GACGAACGCUGGCGGCGUGCUUAACACAUGCAAGUCGAACGAUGAAGCUGGAGCUUGCUCCGGUGGAUUAGUGGCGAACGGGUGAGUAACACGUGAGCAAUCUGCCCUUGACUCUGGGAUAACUGCGGGAAACUGUAGCUAAUUCCGGAUACUUUCACUGGAAGGCAUCUUCUGGUGAAGAAAGAAUUUCGGUCAAGGAUGAGCUCGCGGCCUAUCAGCUUGUUGGUGAGGUAACGGCUCACCAAGGCGACGACGGGUAGCCGGCCUGAGAGGGUGACCGGCCGCAAUGGGACUGAGACACGGCCCAGACUCCUACGGGAGGCAGCAGUGGGGAAUAUUGCACAAUGGGCGCAAGCCUGAUGCAGCAACGCCGCGUGAGGGAUGAAGGCCUUCGGGUUGUAAACCUCUUUUAGCAGGGACGAAGCGCAAGUGACGGUAGGUGCAGAAGAAGGACCGGCCAACUACGUGCCAGCCGCCGCCGUAA
rnacentral:rRNA from 1 species